GAUUGAAGAACGCAGCGAAAUGCGAUACGUAAUGUGAAUUGCAGAAUUCAGUGAAUCAUCGAAUCUUUGAACGCAUAUUGCGCUCUUUGGUAUUCCGAAGAGCAUGCUUGUUUGAGUAUCAGUAAACACCUCAACCUCUUCUUGAUUUUUCAAAAGGAGGGUGGACUUGAGCUAUCCCAACAACCUUUACCGGUCGGCGGGCGGCUUGAAAUGCAGGUGCAGCUGGACUUUUAUCUGAGCUAAAAGCAUAUCUAUUUAGUCCUCGUCAAACAGGAUUAUUACUUUUGCUGCAGCUAACAUAAAGGAUAAUUGUCCUCUUUGCUGACUGAUGCAGGAUUUUACGACACUUUAUGUGUUGUUCAACUCGAUCUCAAAUCAAGUAAGACUACCCGCUGAACUUAAGCAUAUCAAUAAGCGGAGGA
rnacentral:misc_RNA from 1 species